rnacentral:rRNA from 1 species
AUUGAACGCUGGCGGCAGGCCUAACACAUGCAAGUCGAGCGAGCGGCGGGCGGGUGCGUACUGUAUAGGAACUGCCCGAUAGCUGGCGAUAACUACUGGAAACGGUUGCUAAUACCGCAUAAUGUCGGAUUAGCCAUUUGGGAUUAGCUAGUAGGUAAGGUAAUGGCUUACCUAGGCGACGAUCCCUAGCUGGUCUGAGAGGAUGAUCAGCCACACUGGGACUGAGACACGGCCCAGACUCCUACGGAGGCAGCAGUGGGGAAUAUUGCACAAUGGUCGCAAGCCUGAUGCAGCCAUGCCGCGUGUAUGAAGAAGGCCCUAGGGUUGUAAAGUACUGUCAGUCGGGAGGCGUUACCGACAGAAGAAGCACCGGCUAACUCCGUGCCAGCAGCCGCGGUAAUAC